GGGGAUGUAGCUCAGUGGUAGAGUUCUCACUUAGCAUACUUGAAGCUCUGGGUUCAGUUUCCCAGCACCCCCC
rnacentral:tRNA from 1 species